UGAUUCAGUAGGGAUUGAUAAAAGGGAAGGGAGCCACUCGCCUGCAUGUGCCGAUUUUACAGCAGCGCUUUGCACUUUAUAGAAGGUAGUUGGAGCUUCAACACUCCGGAUUCUAUGUCACGCGCAAGCUGCUCCAUUGGAACGCGCGCCGGUAGUCCACGCCACAAGAAGGAUCCCAUAGAUGCAAUUAUUUUUGACGUGUGAACGCAGUACGGUGGAAGAAUUGAUGCCACAUACCAAAUCUUGGACGUCGCAAAAGUAUUCAGCAGUAUUACUUUCUGCUGAAGGUUUAGGCUCCUCAGCGAAAGCAGCCACAAAUGCUGGGCAAAUUUUGACACGAGCACGUCCCAAUAUAUUUUAACCAUUGCCCGAAUCGAAUUGGUGAAAAAUACGACGAGUAUUUUAAUCGUCUCAGCGGUUCGUAGCAAUUGAGCAUUCAGAGGAUUUCCAUCAACUAGCCCGACGUCUAUUGCGACAGUUUUUUGUCUGUUGAGUUUUGCUCCGGCUACUCGCUCGAAGCGGUCGAAGAGUUCAUUGAUGGUUUCAAUCGCACACAUGCUGGUGACUACCACAGAUUUAUCGUCUGCAUGUGCCACCACGAGAUCGGGGGCGACCUGUUGCUCCAGAUGUUCGAGAAACGGGUAUAGGUACAUGACGAAUAGUAGCAUGGUCAUUGGGUCUCCCUGCCGAACCGAACGUUCGAUGGGGAAACGUUGCGAAAGAUGCCCGUUCACUAGCAGCCGAGAGAAAGAUUGUUCGGCAAGACGUUUCAGUAGGCCGACGAAGGCUGGGUUUAUUCCCAGCUGCAGCAUGGUUUCGUAAGAGAAAGGAUGAGACACCCGAUCAAAGGCAUGAUCGAGAUCAUAGCUUAUCAGCUUCCCUUUUUGCUUCGUCGCUUUUAGCUCUGCAAUGCGGUCUUUUAGAGAAAGAGUGGCUUCGAAGAUUGAGUGCCCGUCGUUUGCACACUUCUGUGCGUCACUCAACACACGGUGAGUUUUUACCACGAGCUCGAGACGUGCUUUCAAUAUUCUCCCGAGAAUUUUAAAGUCCGCGUUCAGGAGACUGAUGGUACGAUAUCCUCGUGCAGUGCUCGCCGUUCCUCUCUUUCGGACUAGCACGAUAACCCCGUCAGCAAAAUCGGCUGGUAUUUCCGAAGUUAGGGCCUCGUUCAAAACGAGGUUUAGUUCUCGAUGGAUGACAUCAAAUGUUCGUUAGUAGAAUUCAACGGGUAGCCCGUCGCUUUCCUUUCCGCCGAUGUACGUAAAGCUGCCAGUAUCUCAGCUGUUGUUACCUCUGCCAUGCACGUUUCAUUCGUUCGGUUGUUUUCAGGGAUGACUCUCUCUCGCAUUGGAAAUAGGUCCGCGCUGCUACGUUUUCGUCUGUCGCUGUGUAUAGUUGCCUAAAAUAUCCAAGCAGGUGGUUUUCGGUGGCUGCGGAGGUGGUUAAAGAUUCGUUGUCUUCACCAAUCAACUCGGUGAUGGUGGUUUUUUACGCCGUCUUCCGCCCAGCUAGAACAUGUUGAUAUUUUCCCCUGCUAUAUAGGUGUCGUGCGCAUAAAAUGUUGAGAGAAAUUUCGCUGAUGGGCUAGCAUCCGUGCCUUUAUUCGGUUUAUUGUUGCAAGCAUCGCUGGAUUUUGAAAAUAUCCAUCGUAUGCAUGUUGUAGCUGCGUGUAUAGGCGUUGGUAUUCAUAGUAGUAAACACUGUACGCCUCACGAGAUUUAGCUCGGAAAAGGGAUAGGAUUUUUGGCUUUGCACAUGACAUCCACCAGGUGAGCCAGUUGGGAAACCUUCUCCUCUGUCGGGUGACGUACUACCACGAGAUUUCGAAUUCCGCGACAUUGUCUGCCGUUAGGAGAUGGGGAUGCAGUGACCAGGAGCCGCGACCAGGCGCACGACCGAGGCUAGGGAGGCACAUUCGACUGGUUAAAGCUUUGUGGUUCGUGAAUGAACAGACAGGCGUGGCUGCGUUUCGUAGCUGCGCGCAGAGCCCUUCACUUAUGUGUACUCUUUCAAAGCUAUUGCUGUCCCUCUCCUUGACUGGUCAACGUUUGCGAUGACGUUGUAGCCAGGGAUGAGGAGCUGCUCUGAUUUCACUUCUUGAAGAAAGACGAUGUCUAGUUCCAUCGUCCUGCAAAACGUGCGGAGCGCGUUGAGUUUUGUGUCGUUGGAGAUUGCGUUUGUGUUGAUGGUGGCAACGUUAUAGCUAGAGACAGUGGUAAUUCGCGGCAAAAAAGUUGAAAAUUCGCGGGUGACAAAAUAGUAAUUAUUUGAAAUUCGCGGUAAUUUCGCGGCAACUUUUUUUUUCAGGAAAUACUAAAAAAAGUGAUUUUGCUUUUGAUAAAAACGAGAAACAACUGUUUUAUUUAAUUUUAUAUACGGUAAUUUAACCGUACGAUUCAUUUUUUUUUGCAUUACUGAUAAAAAAUUCAAACUGUGUUAAAUUGUUUCCAGUCAAAUUUUGGUGUCGGUAAGCACCUAUUGUUCAAGUUAUACUGUUCAGUAUCCAAGUUAUAAAGUUCUGAAAAACGUCUGCGAUCCGAGUACCUACCAAAACUACAAUACCAUACCAAUUACACUGUUGAGUAUCUUUUUAAAUACUUACUUGUAUUUAAGUCAUCCUGCAACUCCGAUUUUAUGGCUGCACACUUUGGAAUUCUAUCAUGCAGGUCACCAAUUGCCAAAAUAUUUGCUUUCAGAGGAUCUAGCAACCUAACCGCCAAUUCAAUCCAGGCUACCAAAACAUUUUAUUUUAUUGGUUACGUAGGAAGAGGCCUCCCGUUUCCAUCGAGGUGCCUAUUAAUCUUCAGGUUUGUCCGUGUUGCUGCGGUUUUUCAUCACUUUCGCGGCAUUUCGCGGGUUUUUGUGAAUUUCGCGGAAAUCGCGAUUACCACUGUCCCUAGUUAUAGCUAGUAAACUGAUCCAUUUUUAUAAGCUCAGCUCCUGCUCUUCGUCACCGCCGUUGUCGCUGUUGUUUUUUCCAUCGACAUCAUUUUUGUCGUCGAUAUCGUCCCGUCGCUUUAAGUUUUUACGUUUUCUCCCAGUCUUGCUGUUUGCCGAUGCUGUUGAGGCAUCUGUCUCGUUACCAUCUGAUUUGGCGCCAGCCUGUCUGCUGUACAUUUCACAGCCGGCGGAAGGUUGUUGACCGGAGGUAGAGCGCAACGACCUGCUAUUCGGUGGUUGACUCGAUCCUGAUAUGGGGAUUAUUGGGGCUGUAAGCGAGGGACAAUGUUUUUGCGAUUGCGUGUCGAGCGUAAGUGCUGAGUGUUGUUGUUGCUGCAAUUCCUUCUUCUUCUUCGCUGGAGGGCGACUCGCAUGCGAAGAAGUUGAACUCGGCAGCACUGCCCAAGGAACAAUUAUUGUUGCGUAAACAUUUACUCAACCACUUUUGUUAGGCUCGAGUUGAACAACAACCGAGAUGGAAAAUAGAAAACUUCUGUUCAAUGGUUGUUCAGUUAAAUUUGGAGAAAUUAUCCGACACACAGUAGUUUAGGAACGGCGAAGAGGGUUUGAAACAACAACAGCAGAACAUUUCAUCCAACACUUGUUAAACCAGCGUUGAACAGAUGCGCCGGAAAACAUUUAUUAGGCUACUGUUCUGUAUGUGUUCGACCAGUUGAAUAAAAUAGUCAUCGAACAUCUGUUAAACCGUUGCCCGACUUUUGAAAUGCUCUUGUUAAACGCAUGUUCAAUAAUAAUGUUUGCAAACGUUUAUUUCGCGCAUUAGUACAUACUUAUGCAGCUAAUGCUGAAUAGUAGCGUGGAAAAAAGUUUAAUCGACAUUAAUUCAGCUCUUUUAGCACAAACAAAAUGCAAAAAAAAAUCGAUUUUUUUCAUUAAAAUUAUUAUUAUUAGCUUUAUUAGUUUUUUGCUUGUCGAAACGUUACGGGUCAAUUUUUAAUUUAUAUUAGAAGGAAAUACCACCCUCUUAAAAAAUCAUCCUCUUUUGUUCAGUUUCUGUUGAGAUACGAACUUGCGAUCCAUUGCUUGGCGGUCAUCGAUGAAUGCAUCUGAGCUAAUCUGUAAUAUGACGUGUACUGUGUCUGAAGUGAAUAUGCUUCUAAACAUUCUGGUCUAUUAAAUGUUGAACAGGCAUUGCAUAGCUGCUGGAAUAUUAGCUUUUUGCACACGCCUCUAAACAAAGCGUACCGGCUAAUUUGACAUAAUCAGGCAUGCCAGAUCUACAGAAUAGUCAGCAAAUUUUGGUUUUAGUUGCGUGUGCGGAUGUAAGCAACUGUCAAACCGUGCGCCGACAUUGGUAUUUUCUCUCUUCAAUGAUGUUUACGAAAAUUUUUAAUGCUCAUCGACUUUAUUUUUACCGUUUCUGUCUAGGUUUCUGUGGGUAUAUUGCUCCAUAUACACUUUUUAUAAGUAUUAUAUUAUUCAUUUUUAUUGUUUCAUUUUCUAAAAAAAGCAGCUUGAAAACAAGCAACAUAUUCACGACUACGAAGGUGCUGAUAUUUGUUUGGUUUUUGCAUGAGAAAAAGAAGAAAGGAAAUAUUUUUGCUUUUGUCAUCGUACACAUUUUGACAAUUGCAAACGAGAGUUCGCCUAGGUGCAAACAGUCUUUAAAAUCUCUUUCAACUUCGUAGUCGCGAAUAACAGUUACUCAGUAAUUAACGAUGUAGUGUUGUGUAUCAGUUAAUAUUGGAAAAGAUUUAGAAAAAAAUUGAAUCUAUUCUUUUGAAAUUAAUCGAUUCACCGAUUAAAUCGAUUAGCCUGGAUCGAUUUUUCUUAUGUUGUUGUAACCUACCAUAUACUUCUCAUAUUUCGACAAUAAAUAAUGAUAUUCUUGUAAAUUCUGAAAAUUGCACAUAAAUUUGCUGUUGCUGUUCAGUUUAAAUUUUCUGGCAUCCCUGGUCAUUGCGGCAUUGCUAUGCCGCUGUCAAGUGGUAACAUCUGUCCAGUCUCAGUUUUCAUUGUUUUUCCGCGGUUUCAGCCUCCAAUGUAAUUUCGUUUUUUGUCUUUAUUUACCAAGUUUUAUUGAGUUACCUCGCAAAAUAAACUAAGUUUUCGUGAUGCAAAGAAAUUUCUUCUGUGUGAUACAAAGCCAGUAAGUGAUAACUGUGGUUCCGCCGCAAUGGAUUGACGGAAAAUUUCUUUUCUGACACCCUAAUAGAGCCGAAAAUUGCCUCUUCCAAACCAGAAUCUAACAGAGGUAACAUUCCCUGUAUAAUAAAAAAAAAAAGAACAUUUCAACAUUUGAUGAGGCAGAAGAGGAAGAUGCAUUCCUAUCUGACAGAACAACGGUCAAUGGAUACCUCCGAUACAACAGUGCCACCUAAGAAAAGGUUGAAAAGGGCAGCUACAUCAAUUCAAGAAUUUGAUAUCAACCGUUUGCUAGAAAACAAAGGUUUGUACCCCAUUAUGUCCGAAUAAUGCUACAUUUCUAUUUUUAGGUACUUUAAUGAUGUUAGUAACCAUUGAAAAAACGUCUGCGGUUAACGUUGAUACUAAUUUGGUCUGCAAACCCAUAGAAGAAUUUUAAACAGAGCAACCAAUUGCUACUUCUUAUAUGCUACCUGGUUCCAAUACUGCAAUUAUACAUCGAAGCGAAGAUCUUGCAUAUGACCCACUAUUUGACCGCGAUGGACAGAAAAAUUUUAUGACGGAAAAGAUAAGUAAUGUUGCAAAUACGGUCAAUGGGUAAAAUACAUGCUACGAAAUUGUCAAGAGUAUCAAUUGGAGCUUCAACGUCAAAUUGAUGGAACCUUUUCUAAAAGUCAGUCACGAGGAAUUCCAUGAAACGUUGUGAAGCCGCUGCGCUGCUCGACAGUUCACCGGAGAUCAAAGAAAACAUCACUUCUGUUGCAAUUGCUGAAUGUAUGACCACUGAUGAUACGGGAAGAGAGAACGGAACAGCACAAGAAAACAGCGACACAGAAGAGGAGAGUGUUGGUGAUCAACAAGUUUCACCCCACACUUCAUCCCUGGUUGGAGUCAACUAUACAGUCCACUAUAUACAUAUCCGAAAAUAAGCGGCAUACGAGAGAUUGGCUACUCUAUCCGAAAGCAAGCGGCACACGGGAACUGAAGACGGUCACAGCGGCAAAUCACACACCAACCAUCAUCAUCAUCAUCAUCAUCGUUAGCGUCAGCCAAACCCGCUACUGAUAAGUGGUGGUGAGCCCUUAUCACUACCGUGAGAGCGAGACUGAUGAUCUGCUAAUCGAGGAGGAUCGGUAUCGGGAUCAAUCGGGAUCAAUCGGGAGGCGCAACGAUCACUUCGGGAGAAAAAACAUCGCCGCUUGGACUCACUCCACCUUGGCCCACUUUCGGAUCAGCAGCAGUCAUCACUCCCAUCUUGAACUUCAACAAGAGCGGCUCAGGAAGACCGCCAAGAAUUUAUAACUCAUCCUUAUAUUAAAUUAGCAGUUAGAAAUAUAAUUACAAAAUACACUUUCACUGUUUAAUGAAUAAAAAUAGUGCGUUUAAGUAAUUCGCGGAAUAGAACAAGGUGUUAGUUUCCUUAUUCAUUGCAACCAUCCAAAAAGACGGAUUGAGUUGCAAGGCAUUCGGCGUGGUCCACGGCUGGACACAAUUGGUAAAGUUAUUUCGAGUGCGAGCGCAAUCUCUGGUUAGGCCGCUAACGCGGCAAUAACGCAAGCCCAGCAUCCCUAUCUCGUGUUGGACUGGAGGUAAAUCCAACAUAUUGGUCCUUCGAACUGGAUCGAGGACUGAUCCGGAUCAUCAAAGCUGGGCUUUCGCCAUUGCAUUUUGGAGCGACUCCUUCAUUUACGGGACGACGCUAUUUUGGGCGGUGAAGUUUAUUGGAGUAUUGGGGAACAAAGGUUGUUCCGCCAUCGCAUAUUUUCUAACGCUUCUUAUCCGCCAUCGCUUAACUGGACAUUGGCGCCAAGGGAUUUUUCUCAGGUGAGUUGAUCCACUACCAUAUGUCCAGCCGAAGCUUAUCGUUUAUGCAAUACUAACACACGUUUUCGAACAUCAUUGCUUUGCACAUCGAGUUACUUUACUGCACUGUCGGCAUUUAUAUUGGAUAACGGUUGAAUGGAUAAAGCACACCACUAAUUGGAAGGAUUGGAAGGAAAUAGUCUGAACCCUAUCAUUAAGAAGAGGAAGCGCAAAACAAGGUUCUCCAGGAAAUUUCUUCUGUGUGAUACAAAGCCAGUAAGUGAUAACUGUGGUUCCGCCGCAAUGGAUUGACGGAAAAUUUCUUUUCUGACACCCUAAUAGAGCCGAAAAUUGCCUCUUCCAAACCAGAAUCUAACAGAGGUAACAUUCCCUGUAUAAUAAAAAAAAAAAGAACAUUUCAACAUUUGAUGAGGCAGAAGAGGAAGAUGCAUUCCUAUCUGACAGAACAACGGUCAAUGGAUACCUCCGAUACAACAGUGCCACCUAAGAAAAGGUUGAAAAGGGCAGCUACAUCAAUUCAAGAAUUUGAUAUCAACCGUUUGCUAGAAAACAAAGGUUUGUACCCCAUUAUGUCCGAAUAAUGCUACAUUUCUAUUUUUAGGUACUUUAAUGAUGUUAGUAACCAUUGAAAAAACGUCUGCGGUUAACGUUGAUACUAAUUUGGUCUGCAAACCCAUAGAAGAAUUUUAAACAGAGCAACCAAUUGCUACUUCUUAUAUGCUACCUGGUUCCAAUACUGCAAUUAUACAUCGAAGCGAAGAUCUUGCAUAUGACCCACUAUUUGACCGCGAUGGACAGGUGAGUAACUAUAUCGUCGGUUCCGUGCAACACUGGUACAACCCAAAAAUAGUUUCGAGAAAAACGCGUUUGAAAAUUAACGUCGAAAUUUUUUUUUCAAUUUUCAAGAAAACUUUAAAGUUAAUGAUUUCCAAUCCUUAUCUAACACUUUUAGGUCUAUUAAGCACAUAUUUUGAGCACGUUAAAAUCUUUUUUACUAACUUUAUAGAGAAAUUUCGAUUUGUGCAGCGAAAGCAUUUCUAUUCAUAGCUCUGGUGAUUUUGUGAAUUUCGAAACAGGGUGUUGUCGGAGGCAAAUUUACAGUAUUUGGCAUCGUUUGCCAUCCAAAACUAAAAAUGCAAAAUUUUGAGUUGUGCCAGUGUUGCACUAAACCGACGAUAUGAAGACUGAUGCAUAUAGAACAUUCCACUUUAUAUUAUAAUCACUGUAUGUUUCACUAAUCUGGCGGAGGGGAUUCGGAAAUCAAUUGAAGCUGUUAUAACGGGAUCCAGGUAAUGGAGAUUCCAUACGACUGAUUCUUUUACAACAGUAUAAAUUGGUUCUCGAAUCCACUCCGCCAAACUAGUAAAAUAUACAGUGACUAAACUUUAGAUCCCUUCUUCUCAUAGUGCAUUUUCAAACUCGCAGAUAAAUUUAACGUUUAUUAUGAAUUGCUUUCAAGGAACCGGCACGGCAAUUCUUUUUAGGAGUGAGAUGGGGUGAAAAUCGUUUUAAAUCUGUCCACGUGGUAUGUGGAUGGCCCCUAAGAUUUACGUAGUUUUCUUUCUAUACUUUUUUUUUGGCUCACAGUCUAUAUUUUUUCUGGAAAGACGAAAUUACUGUCUACAUUUUUUGCGGCAACCGUUGCAGCUCUGAUUUUUUUUUACUUUAUUUAAGAAAAUUCUGACCUUUUUUUCUCAUUUCAUUAUGAUCAGAUAACCAUCAAUUUUUUAGCAAACUUUUUGUAGUUUUGAUAAAUAAAAAAGAUUUAAAAAAAAACAGACUUUAAAAAAAAAAUUGAAUUUUUUUUUCUUUUUUUUUGUAGAAAUACGCAAUGGGGUCCUAAAGUUUUAAACGGUUUUCUGAUUUUUAUAUAUCAGCUGGAAGAGUGCAACUUUCUGAGCAAAACGUGAUUUUAAAAAAAUGUUUAUCAUUUUCCUUCGAUUUUCAAAUGAAGGAUAAAAAUCUGCUCGAAAUGCCUUAAAUGACAGUUCUCUCAUAUACCGUACAUGGGCAAAACGUCAUCUAAGACCAUUCGAGAAUUUUUUUUAUUCUUCAUUUAAAAAUCGAAGGAAAACGAUAAACGUUUUUUGAAAAUCACGUUUUGCUCAGAAAACGCGGCUUUUUCAAAUGAUAUUUAAAAACCGGUAUAGCUUUAGGACCCAAUAAACCUAUUAAUUUGAUCAUGAAAAUCAGUAUAUUUUAAAAUAAAUAGCUCACAACUAUUUUUUCUUUAUAAAUCCAAAAUGUGGUUUUUAUUUUAGGCAAAAAUGUAUGUUUAUCAAAAAUAAUGUGUUAUGUGUUAAAUGUUUUGCGAGGGUUGAUAGCAAAUAGUGAAACCCAAACGUAUUUGUAAUAUACUUCUGAUCUAACUCCUAAAUCUAAUCCAACUUUAGAGAGAGUAUGAAAGAGUAAGAGAGUAAGUAAGAGAAAGAGAGAGUAAGAAAGAGAGAGAGAGAGUAAAAAAGAGAGAGCGAGUAAGAAAGAGUAAGAAAGAGAGAGAGAGAGUAAGAAAGAGAGAGAGAGAGAGAGUAAGAGAGAAAGAGAGAGAGAAAGAAAGAGAGAGAGGAGGAAAGAGAGAGAAAAAGAGAGAGAGAGAAAGAAAGAGAAAGAGCUGACGAUUUUAUAUAAUAAUUACACUGGUCAACACAGGUGUGGUCUUAAAGUUCAAACUAGAAAAAAAAGAAAGAUUAUGAAUUUUUAGCCAUUGCUGUGAAUUUUUGUGCCCCCAGCUACCAACAUUUUUUCAGAGAUGAGUUUUCUAAUAAACAUAACAUUGAAGCGACGGACCCGGUGAGUUAUUACUAUACGAACACUCACGUAAAUAAACCCGUUUUGGUAAUGGCUAGGAGCACCAAAAUUGACAGGAAUGGUUAAAAAGCUUUAAUUUUUCUAGAGCAUCUAUUUCGAGCUUUAAAGCAACAUUUUUUCGCUUUUGUCGACCAGUGUAUCAUGCUGUUUAACUUAAAAAAUGUGUAUAACUUUCUCAACAUAUCUUUUGACUGUUUGGAAAAAUUUUAUGACGGAAAAGAUAAGUAAUGUUGCAAAUACGGUCAAUGGGUAAAAUACAUGCUACGAAAUUGUCAAGAGUAUCAAUUGGAGCUUCAACGUCAAAUUGAUGGAACCUUUUCUAAAAGUCAGUCACGAGGAAUUCCAUGAAACGUUGUGAAGCCGCUGCGCUGCUCGACAGUUCACCGGAGAUCAAAGAAAACAUCACUUCUGUUGCAAUUGCUGAAUGUAGGACCACUGAUGAUACGGGAAGAGAGAACGGAACAGCACAAGAAAACAGCGACACAGAAGAGGAGAGUGUUGGUGAUCAACAAGUUUCACCCCACACUUCAUCCCUGGUUGGAGUCAACUAUACAGUCCACUAUAUACAUAUCCGAAAAUAAGCGGCAUACGAGAGAUUGGCUACUCUAUCCGAAAGCAAGCGGCACACGGGAACUGAAGACGGUCACAGCGGCAAAUCACACACCAACCAUCAUCAUCAUCAUCAUCGUUAGCGUCAGCCAAACCCGCUACUGAUAAGUGGUGGUGAGCCCUUAUCACUACCGUGAGAGCGAGACUGAUGACCUGCUAAUCGAGGAGGAUCGGUAUCGGGAUCAAUCGGGAGGCGCAACGAUCACUUCGGGAGAAAAACAUCGCCGCUUGGACUCACUCCACCUUGGCCCACUUUCGGAUCAGCAGCAGUCAUCACUCCCAUCUUGAACUUCAACAAGAGCGGCUCAGGAAGACCGCCAGGAAUUUAUAACUCAUCCUUAUAUUAAAUUAGCAGUUAGAAAUAUAAUUACAAAAUACACUUUCACUGUUUAAUGAAUAAAAAUAGUGCGUUUAAGUAAUUCGCGGAAUAGAACAAGGUGUUAGUUUCCUUAUUCAUUGCAACCAUCCAAAAAGGCGGAUUGAGUUGCAAGGCAUUCGGCGUGGUCCACGGCUGGACACAAUUGGUAAAGUUAUUUCGAGUGCGAGCGCAAUCUCUGGUUAGGCCGCUAACGCGGCAAUAACGCAAGCCCAGCAUCCCUAUCUCGUGUUGGACUGGAGGUAAAUCUAACAUAUUGGUCCUUCGAACUGGAUCGAGGACUGAUCCGGAUCAUCAAAGCUGGGCUUUCGCCAUUGCAUUUUGGAGCGACUCCUUCAUUUACGGGACGACGCCAUUUUGGGCGGUGAAGUUUAUUGGAGUAUUGGGGAACAAAGGUUGUUCCGCCAUCGCAUAUUUUCUAACGCUUCUUAUCCGCCAUCGCUUAACUGGACAUUGGCGCCAAGGGAUUUUUCUCAGGUGAGUUGAUCCACUACCAUAUGUCCAGCCGAAGCUUAUCGUUUAUGCAAUACUAACACACGUUUUCGAACAUCAUUGCUUUGCACAUCGAGUUACUUUACUGCACUGUCGGCAUUUAUAUUGGAUAACGGUUGAAUGGAUAAAUCACACCACUAAUUGGAAGGAUUGGAAGGAAAUAGUCUGAACCCUAUCAUUAAGAAGAGGAAGCGCAAAACAAGGUUCUCCAGGUUAGUGAACAAUUGAUGGUAUAUGUUCGCCGAAGCUAGGCUCGGAUACUUCACAAUUAUAAUAAAAUAUCCUCUUCGACGGUGCGUUGUGCUUUAUACUAUUCUACUCUAUAUGCGAGUCUAUGAGGCUACUUACGGAGACAAGUUUAUAAUGUACGAUACAUUUGCUACUCGAACUUACUUUGUGAUUUGCUGCGCUGUUAGUUUCUCCAGGUGAGAUUCAACAGUAUAUGGCCAGCCGUGGCCUGGGCUUUUAUUGAUACUACAUGCUUGCUUUCCCACCUCGAUUUCCCGUUUCUAUCGAUCAUUUGAGAUUAUUUUGGAACAAACCCACCGCAUCGCCACUUAGUUCGCUAUUGGUCACAAAUUUACAUUCGCUUGGAGUGCAACAAUAUAUUCCGUCAGGUAAAAUAUAGAAUAGUAUAUGCCUGGCGAGGCUAGGAUCGUUCGCAGAAUAUUACACCACCUAUUUUUUCCGCUUAUAACAAUCGGUUACCAUGCCAGCCGCCACUGGAUCCGCUACAAAAAAGGCACCGUCCCUAAAGGGCUGGAUAACGAAAUUGAAGGAAAUUCAAUCAUCCUUCAAUGAUAUUUGGGAAUUUGUGGAACAAUUCCCGGAUGGAAGCACUGUCACUGAAAUCGAAGUCCGUUUGCAAAAACUCGAGGAAUUGUGGGAGAAAUUUGGGGAGACACUUCCCAAGGAACAAUUAUUGUUGCGUAAACAUUUACUCAACCACUUUUAUUAGGCUCGAGUUGAACAACAACCGAGAUGGAAAAUAGAAAACUUCUGUUCAAUGGUUGUUCAGUUAAAUUUGGAGAAAUUAUCCGACACACAGUAGUUUAGGAACGGCGAAGAGGGUUUUAAACAACAACAGCAGAACAUUUCAUCCAACACUUGUUAAACCAGCGUUGAACAGAUGCGCCGGAAAACAUUUAUUAGGCUACUGUUCUGUAUGUGUUCGACCAGUUGAAUAAAAUAGUCAUCGAACAUCUGUUAAACCAUUGCCCGACUUUUGAAAUGCUCUUGUUAAACGCAUGUUCAAUAAUAAUGUUUGCAAACGUUUAUUUCGCGCAUUAGUACAUACUUAUGCAGCUAAUGCUGAAUAGUAGCGUGGAAAAAAGUUUAAUCGACAUUAAUUCAGCUCUUUUAGCACAAACAAAAUGCAAAAAAAAAUCGAUUUUUUUCAUUAAAAUUAUUAUUAUUAGCUUUAUUAGUUUUUUGCUUGUCGAAACGUUAUGGGUCAAUUUUUAAUUUAUAUUAGAAGGAAAUACCACCCUCUUAAAAUCAUCCUCUUUUGUUCAGUUUCUGUUGAGAUACGAACUUGCGAUCCAUUGCUUGGCGGUCAUCGAUGAAUGCAUCUAAGCUAAUCUGUAAUAUGACGUGUACUGUGUCUAAAGUGAAUAUGCUUCUAAACAAUCUGGUCUAUUAAAUGUUGAACAGGCAUUGCAUAGCUGCUGGAAUAUUAGCUUUUUGCACACGCCUCUAAACAAAGCGUACCGGCUAAUUUGACAUAAUCAGGCAUGCCAGAUCUACAGAAUAGUCAGCAAAUUUUGGUUUUAGUUGCGUGUGCGGAUGUAAGCAACUGUCAAGCCGUGCGCUGACAUUGGUAUUUUCUCUCUUCAAUUAUGUUUACGAAAAUUUUUAAUGCUCAUCGACUUUAUUUUUAACGUUUCUGUCUAUCUAUAUAUUAUUCAUUUUUAUUGUUUUAUUUUCUAAAAAAAGCAGCUUGAAAACAAGCAAAAUAUUCACGACUACGAAGGUGCUGAUAUUCGUUUGGUUUUUGCAUGAGAAAAUGAAGAAAGGAAAUAUUUUUGCUUUUGUCAUCGUACACAUUUUGACAAUUGCAAACGAGAGUUCGCCUAGGUGCAAACAGUCUUUAAAAUCUCUCUCAACUUCGUAGUCGCGAAUAACAGUUACUCAGUAAUUAACGAUGUAGUGUUGUGUAUCAGUUAAUAUUGGAAAAGAUUUAGAAAAAAAAUUGAAUCUAUUCUUUUGAAAUUAAUCGAUUCGCCGAUUUAAUCGAUUUUUCUUAUGUUGUUGUAACCUACCAUAUACUUCUCAUAUUUCGACAAUAAAUAAUGAUAUUCUUGUAAAUUCUGAAAAUUGCACAUAAAUUUGCUGUUGCUGUUCAGUUUAAAUUUUCUGGCAUCCCUGGUCAUUGCGGCAUUGCUAUGCCGCUGUCAAGUGGUAACAUCUGUCCAGUCUCAGUUUUCAUUGUUUUUCCGCGGUUUCAGCCUCCAAUGUAAUUCCGUUUUUUGUCUUUAUUUACCAAGUUUUAUUGAGUUACUUCGCAAAAUAAAGAAAUUUCUUCUGUGUGAUACAAAGCCACCGAAAAAUGCGUCUUCCAAACCAGAAUCUAACAGAGGUAACAUUUCCUGUAUAAUCAAAAAAAAGAACAUUUCAACAUUUGAUGAGGCAGAAGAGGAAGAUGCAUUCCUAUCUGACAGAACAACGGUCAAUGGAUACCUCCGAUACAGCAGUGCCACCUAAGAAAAGGUUGAAAAGGGCAGCUACAUCAAUUCAAGAAUUUGAUAUCAACCGUUUGCUAGAAAACAAAGGUUUGUACCCCAUUAUGUCUGAAUAAUGCUACAUUUCUAUUUUUAGGUACUUUAAUGAUGUUAGUAACCAUUGAAAAAACGUCUGCGGUUAACGUUGAUACUAAUUUGGUCUGCAAACCCAUAGAAGAAUUUGAAACAGAGCAACCAAUUGCUACUUCUUAUAUGCUACCUGGUUCCAAUACUGCAAUUAUACAUCGAAGCGAAGAUCUUGCAUAUGACCCACUAUUUGACCGCGAUGGACAGAUAAAUUUAACGUUUACUAUGAAUUGCUUUCAAGGAACCGGCACGGCAAUUCUUUUUAAGAAGUGAGAUGCGGUGAAAAUCGUUUUAAAUCUGUCCACGUGGUAUGUGGAUGGCCCCUAACAUUUACGUAGUUUUCUUUCUAUACUUUUUUUUUGGCUCACAGUCUAUAUUUUUUCUGGAAAGACGAAAUUACUGUCUACAUUUUUUGCAGCAACCGUUGCAGCUCUGAUUUUUUUUCUUUAUUUAAGAAAUUUCUGACCUUUUUUCUCAUUCCAUUAUGAUCAGACAACCAUCAAUUUUUUAGCAAACUUUUGGUAGUUUUGAUAAAUAAAAAAAGAUUUAAAAAAAACAGACUUCAAAAAAAAUAUUUACAUUUUUUUUUCUUUUUUUUUGUAGAAAUACGCAAUGGGGUCCUAAAGUUUUAAACGGUUUUCUGAUUUUUAUAUAUCAGCUGGAAGAGUGCAACUUUCUGAGCAAAACGUGAUUUUUAAAAAAUGUUUAUCAUUUUCCUUUGAUUUUUAAAUGAAGGAUAAAAAUCUGCUCGAAAUGCCUUAAAUGACAGUUCUCUCAUAUACCGUACAUGGGCGAAACGUCAUCUAAGACCAUUCGAGAUUUUUUUUUUAUUCUUCAUUUAAAAAUCGAAUGAAAACGAUAAACGUUUUUUGAAAAUCACGUUUUGCUCAGGAAACGCAGCUUUUUCAAAUGAUAUUUAAAAACCGGUAUAGCUUUAGGACCCAAUAAACCUAUUAAUUUGAUCAUGAAAAUCAGUAUAUUUUAAAAUAAAUAGCUCACAACUAUUUUUUCUUUAUAAUUCCAAAAUGUGGUUUUUAUUUUAGGCAAAAAUGUAUGUUUAUCAAAAAUAAUGUGUUAUGUGUUAAAUGUUUUGCGAGAGUUGAUAGCAAAUAGUGAAACCCAAACGUAUUUGUAAUAAACUUCUGAUCUAACUCCUAAAUCUAAUCCAACUUUAGAGAGAGUAUGAAAGAGUAAGAGAGUAAGUAAGAGAAAGAGAGAGUAAGAAAGAGAGAGAGAUAGUAAAAAAGAGAAAGCGAGUAAGAAAGAGAGAGAGAGUAAGAAAGAGUAAGAAAGAGAGUAAGAAAGUGAGAGAGAGUAAGAAAGUGAGAGAGAGUAAGAAAGAGAGAGAGAGAGAGAGUAAGAAAGAAAGAGAGAGAGGAGGAAAGAGAGAGAGAGAGAGAGAGAAAGAAAGAGAGAGAGAGAGAUAGCUGACGAUUUUAUAUAAUAAUUACACUGGUCAACACAGGUGUGGUCUUAAAGUUCAAACUAGAAAAAAAAGAAAGAUUAUGAAUUUUUAGCCAUUGCUGUGAAUUUUUGUGCCCCCAGCUACCAACAUUUUUUCAGAGAUGAGUUUUCUAAUAAACAUAACAUUGAAGCGACGGACCCGGUGAGUUAUUACUAUACGAACACUCACGUAAAUAAACCCGUUUUGGUAAUGGCUUAGGAGCACCAAAAUUGACAGGAAUGGUUAAAAAGAUUAUGAAUUUUUAGCCAUUGCUGUGAAUUUUGGUGCCCCCAGCUACCAAAAUUUUUUUCAGACAUGAGUUUUCUAAUAAACAUAACAUUGAAGCGACGGACCCGGUGAGUUUUUACUAUACGAACACUCACGUAAAUAAACCCGUUUUGGUAAUGGCUAGGAGCACCAAAAUUGACAGGAAUGGUUAAAAAGCUUUAAUUUUUCUAGAGCAUCUAUUUCGAGCUUUAAAGCAACAUUUUUUCGCUCUUGUCGACCAGUGUAUCAUGCUGUUUAACUUAAAAAAUGUGUAUAACUUUCUCA